AUUGAACGCUGGCGGCAGGCUUAACACAUGCAAGUCGAACGAGUGGCGGACGGGUGAGUAAUGUCUGGGAAACUGCCUGAUGGAGGGGGAUAACUACUGGAAACGGUAGCUAAUACCGCAUACCAUCAGAUGUGCCCAGAUGGGAUUAGAGAGUUGGUGGGGUAAUGGCUCACCUAGGCGACGAUCCCUAGCUGGUCUGAGAGGAUGACCAGCCACACUGGAACCGAGACACGGUCCAGACUCCGAGGGGAGGCAGCAGUGGGGAAUAUUGCACAAUGGGCGCAAGCCUGAUGCAGCCAUGCCGCGUGUGUGAAGAAGGCCUUCGGGUUGUAAAGUACUUUCAGCGAGGAGGCGUUACUCGCAGAAGAAGCACCGGCUAACUCCGUGCCAGCAGCCGCGGUAAUUC
rnacentral:rRNA from 1 species